UUUGUCUCUCUGUGUUUCAUACAUUUUCUUCAGUUGGCAAGAGGCUGAAUGUAUUGUAUCUCAGAAAGCAUCCGAGCAGCAGUAACAUUCGAAACGGUGAAGUCGGCGCGAAACCCCCACGACUGGAUCACGAAACGGGGGAAGCUGCUUUGCAGCUCAUGCGACGGGUGAGUGUGCCCAAUCCACCAAGGGAAGCUGCGUUGCAGCCCGUGCGCCCUGCACCCAGAGAUAAAGUGCAUGAGGGUCCCAAAUCAGCAGGUGCCAGAAGUAAGGGGGGAGUUUGGCACAGGUGUCGAGGGUCCGUCUGCGUCCAUGCGCCAGGAUGAAGUCCGUGAGGCGAUUCAUUUACAUAAUGCAACUGAACGUUUUCCACAACGUGAAUAAAAAAACCUAUGCUUUGUAUAUUGUUUGGCAUUCUGUUUCUUACGCCAAUAUCUGUAUGACCUGCCGCCUCCUCAGUCCAUCAGCCGGGGCAGGUGCUCCAUUGGGUGGUGGGUUAGGAGACUCUUGGGGGUCCAUUUUAAUCUCCGCAUCCAUUUCAAUACCAUGCCUCAGGGCUAUGUUGUGCCGCACCCUACAUUUCAG
rnacentral:lncRNA from 1 species